rnacentral:rRNA from 1 species
AGCAGUCGCCGCGGUAAUACGAAGGGUGCAAGCGUUACUCGGAAUUACCGGGCGUAAAGCGUGCGUAGGUGGUGGUUUAAGUCCGUUGUGAAAGCCCUGGGCUCAACCUGGGAAUUGCAGUGGAUACUGGGUCACUAGAGUGUGGUAGAGGAUAGUGGAAUUUCCGGUGUAGCAGUGAAAUGCGUAGAGAUCGGAAGGAACAUCUGUGGCGAAGGCGACUAUCUGGGCCAACACUGACACUGAGGCACGAAAGCGUGGGGAGCAAACAGGAUUAGAUACCCGAGUAGUCCCUGUCUCUUAUAC